CUCACCGACCGGAGGGUCCGCUACACACCGACAGGACCCGGGAAUACAAGCCUCCGGGAUGCAAACACCUGCAGUCCAGUAUUAGUGCUCAUAGUGAGUUAAGGCUGAACAGCAGAUCACGGAUACAUACAGGCAGUGCUCAGUGUUCUGGGACCCACCAUAUGGCGUGGAGCAAACCAUGGUGCAUUAUGGGAUAAUGGAGGACUUUUACGCUUUUGGACGAAGCACUCGACGGAAAUAGCAUCAAGCAGGAGUCAUUUCCCUCGGCCUGGGACGUAUCGUUAUUUUGCAAAACUACCCAUGGUUUUGCGUUUAAGUCAUUCCUGUAAAAUAACCUCUUGUUGAAUUGAUUUUUUUUUUACACAUUACGGUAGGCCUGUACAACACCGGGACAGGAUUUAAUCUCUUUGGACCCGCACUUGGGAUUUUUCUUUAUUCCAAUUUUCGGCAAAACUUGUCAUACAGUUCUUAGCCAUACAACAAGAGCCUCAAAUGCUUCAGAAUUAUUUGAAUAUUUGUAUAAUAAUGCCACGUUUUACGGAAAAAAAGUCUGGCCGUUUCCAAAGUGAAUGCAACUGGACACACACUCAUGCAUGCAAACACACACUCAGACGAGCGGGUUGUGUCUCUCCGUGUUCACAGCGGACCUUGAUUUAAUGUCUUACAAUUAAGGCACGCGGUGAAUGCCAAGAGAUGAGCCUCCUUUCUUCGGAUGUCUGAUUUUUUUAUGAAAGCCAUUCACAGUGUAUUUGCUUCUGUAACGCAUUGCUCAUGUACUGUACCCUUCCCCUCUUUCUUCCAUCAAUAAAGUAAAUAUCCACAACAA